rnacentral:lncRNA from 1 species
ACCUCAUUCUCUAGGAAUUUUACUUAACUAGAACAUAAACAGUUAGAAGCAGCAAAUAAUUUCUCAGACAAGAAGAAAUUCCAUCUUUAAUCCCAUCAUACAUAAGUGUCACUCUGAUACUGAAUUACAGCCUAUUGUUUCUUCUGACAAAUCCUCUUACUUUGAAAAAAAUAAAGUUCAGCAUAAUGUUUUCAACACAGCGGUGUGCUAUUUUGCUAUUAUGGCUAUCUUCCUGAGCUCUGCUAUCUUACAGAUUAAUAGAUUUUUGUGAAUUAAGCUGGAAAGGGAUCUGAUGGUAUGGUAUAGUUUUUCAAACUAUGUUCCUUGAAUAUCUGACAUCAACAUAAGGAAGGGUUAAAAGGGAUGCCGAGCCAGUGGAACUCUGGACCCACCUCCCUUUAACAAGGGUAGUUCCAUUUUUGUAUGUUGUACACAUUGGGUUUCUGAAUAAGAUAUCAUUUAAAGAGUCCUUUAAAAAAAAGUUUAAGCAAUAAUUCUGUUAAGGUUGUUUCAGAUGAUUAUAACACAAACACAUAUAAACACACACAUGCUUAGCAUUUGUCACUCUGAAUACUUAAGAUGGCACAGGUACACGAAUGAGUCUUUGUUACCCAAAGAGAUAUUGGAGUGAUGCCUCAGCAAAAGAAAAACCUGAAGAAAUUGUUUCACUAGAUCUUCUGUGUUCUGGAUGAUAUGCAAUUUUUUUUCUUUUUUGAGACAGAGUCUCGCUCUGCCGCCCAGGCUGGAGUGCAGUGGAGCAAUCUCGGCUCACUGCAACCUCUGUCUCCCAGGUUCAGGCAAUUCUCCUGCCUUAGCCUCCCGAGUAGCUGGGAUUAUAAGCACCUGCCACCACACCCGGCUAAUUUUUUGUAUACUUAGUAGAUUUAGUAGAGAUGGGGUUUCACCAUGUUGACAAAGCUGAUCUUGACCUCCUGACCUCAGCCUCCCAAAGUGCUGGGAUUACAGGUGUGAGCCACCGCGCCCAGCAAUGAUAUGCAAUUUUAAGUCCCUGGUUCCCACUUUACUUAUUAGGCCAAUUAAUAUGACAAUGGCAAUAGCCAACAUUAGACUUUCCCUGCUACUAAAGUUCAACAGCAGCUAACUACACUAUUCCGUUUGUUUGCUUGCUUUUUUGUAUUAUUUUUCAUUAUUUAUUUUUAACUGACAAAAAUUGCAUAUAUUAUGGUAUAUAACAUAUUUUGAAAUAUGUAUGCCUUGUGGAAUGACUACAUCAAACUAUCAGCAUAUGCAUUACCUCACAAACUUAUUUGCAACAAUAACCCUUAAAAUCUACUCUCUCAGCAAUUUUCAGAUGUACAAAACACUGGUUGUUUUUUUUUUUUCUUUUUUUGAGAUGAAGUCUUGCUCUGUC